AUAAACAUUGUUGUGCACGUUCCGCAUUUUCACAUCUGCACACACUCACCACAAGUGCGCACGUCCCCUACCCUACUCCCCAUUUUUGAAAAGUGUAAAUUCUAAUUUUUCAAUCAAAAUAAAAUAGAACCACGAUCAGCGGUUAGUGAAUUUAUGGAAGACAUCCAGAAGUUACAUCCAGCGGUUACUGUCUUUUAUUGUGUAGAGUAAAAGCAAUUCAAAUUGAAAUCCUUUCCUCUUCCUCUCCUUUCACGUUUUAGAAAUUUUAUUGCACUUCUUGAAAUCCCUUAAAAUUGAUUUUGGUAAUUUAGCUUAUGGGUAUGAGACAUUUUGGGUUCAGCAAGUUAGUUUUCUUUUUUAAAGUUUGUUCAAGAUUCAACUUUUAUUUGGUAUUUUUCUGGAUUUUUGCUAAUGGGUUGAGCGUUUCUGUUGUAUUUUUAGGAAUUUUGAAGCUUCCAAGUUUUUUUUUUUUUUUUUAGCUUCUGGGUUUCUGUCAUUUCGAGUUCAGCAAGUUAGUUUUUUCUUACAGUUUGUUCAAGAUUCAAUCUUUAUGUGGUAUUUUUUAAAUUUAUGCUAAUAGGUUGAGCGUUUGUGUUUUUUAUUUAGGCAUUUUGAAGAAAGAUGUUGGGAAAACUCAUCACCAACAGUUUAAUGUAUGUGAUCUGUUUUUUGUCUUCUUCUUUCUACUAUCGCUUUGAUGAUUCGUUUUAUUUGUAUGUUUUGUGUAUUUUUUGACUUGCUUGGGUGAAUGAAUUGAAUUGAACUGUUACUAUCGAUUUUGAGAGGUCCGUCUUUAAGAAGGAGAAGGUUACACUGGCUGGCCAUGACGAGGUGCAUUCCUUCUCUAUAUUUUAUACCUGUUAGCUUUUAUGAUUGGUGUAUUUGUGCUGAAUCUGUUUAUCUUGAAGUUGACCUUGAUGUGUACUUAUUUUGUUGGGAUUAUCGUGUAAUAAUAGCACUUGGUGGUCAGAAGACACGGUGAUGAAAUUAACCCUCUGUGGCAUAGUUUCUUAGACAUAUUAUGAAACAGUCAGUUCUAAGCAAUAAAUAUUGGUGGAGUUAGAUGUUUCAAAGUUCCUUUCGAUAAGAAUGCCUUCUUUGUCAGCUUAUAAGUUUUAUUGGAAAUACAGUUAUAUGUUAUGAUAUAGUUUUGCAUUAGAUGGAAGACCUUUUCUGGUCAUUUCUCCAUGUUUUCUUACUUAGGCAAGCAUUAAGAUGGAAUCGGAUGGAUCCUUCUAUCUGAAUAAUCUUGGGAGGUGCUCCAUAGCAGUGAAUAGCAAAUUUGUUGAUACUGGACAAUAUCUGACCCUUAGCUGUAGUUGUGUGAUAGAGGUAUCUCACUUUCCUUACCUUGAAGGGAAUUUUCUUGCAUAUUACCUUCAUUUAGGUCUUGGAAGUUCUGCUCUGUGGUUAAUAAAUAUUUCCUUGUAUGAGUCUGGUUCCUUAUUUAUUUAAUUGUCUGAGAUCUUCUGUAUAAGCAAAUAUUACACAUUGCUCAUCAUGUCAAUGAAAUAUAGAUCUUUUAUUUCCAACAUGACCUUGGACAAAACUUAUCUUUUAUCCACUGCCUUAAUACCUAUCCAAAUGUCCAGUGUAUCUGUAUAUGAUACGGACCGAUAGAAGUCUCUUUCGAAACAACAAAACUCAACAAAAUCUUAGAAAUUGUUAUAUUUACCGUUGACAACAAAAACAUUUAAGUACAUAACUAACAACUGCAAAAUAGUGUCAAUAUAAUGGUAGAUGAAAAAAUUGGAAUGAUUUUUUUUAAAGGGCAACUUAAAAAAACUAGCCAACAAAAAGAUGAAAUAAGAUUUUGGAUCAAAUGUGAUGUCCUUUAUGAUUGUUGCCCCUUUUAAGUCCUCUACAUAUCGUGUUUAGCGGCAUAUUUGUUCCAUCUGCGUGUGGUUUCCAUCCGUAAUCUAAUGAACUAGGGAAUAACCCAUCUAUUUUAGCUGAUGACCAUGUAUCUGCUGAAGCAUCUAGAGAUGGCACUAGAACUUCUAAGUUCUAAGCAGUAUAAUUGGCUGAAAAUGUUGGUUCUUAAUAUGGCUUAAAGUUAUGCAUUUCACUAUUGUUGUGAGGCGGCAGUCAAAUGGAACUGGGAGGCAACAGUAAUACCAAUUACUGUGCGGCAACUAAAGGUUAUAGUAAGGUUGAAACCGGUUGGCGUACAAUAUGGAACUUUGUUGUUGGUGGUCUGCCCACAUUCAAUACUUUUAGUCUACAAUAUACAUCUGUUUGUAUUAUCUCUCCGCUUUUUUUUCUUCCGAAACAAUCCGCGCAUCGCGCGGGUACGUAUACUAGUUAUAUCUAAUUUACAUACAAUCCUAUUAUUUUUCCCA